AGCGAACGCUGGCGGCAGGCCUAACACAUGCAAGUCGAACGAACUCUUCGGAGUUAGUGGCGGACGGGUGAGUAACACGUGGGAACGUGCCUUUAGGUUCGGAAUAACUCAGGGAAACUUGUGCUAAUACCGAAUGUGCCCUUCGGGGGCAAGAUUUAUCGCCUUUAGAGCGGCCCGCGUCUGAUUAGCUAGUUGGUGAGGUAAAGGCUCACCAAGGCGACGAUCAGUAGCUGGUCUGAGAGGAUGAUCAGCCACAUUGGGACUGAGACACGGCCCAAACUCCUACGGGAGGCAGCAGUGGGGAAUCUUGCGCGUGGGCGAAAGCCUGACGCAGCCAUGCCGCGUGAAUGAUGAAGGUCUUAGGAUUGUAAAAUUCUUUCACCGGGGACGAUAAUGACGGUACCCGGAGAAGAAGCCCCGGCUAACUUCGUGCCAGCAGCCGCAGUAA
rnacentral:rRNA from 1 species